CUCACUCAUCAUCAAAGAUUAAUUAUUCACACACGUUUGUUAAAUUUAUUUUGUUCGGGUCAUUUUUCAAUAAUAUAUUUUUUCGAUAUUCAACACGGCGGAGGAUUGGCUCGAAGUGCAAGCGAGAUUUUGGAAUCUUGACUUUUUUUAAAUGCAUAUCGUUAGUCGAACGUUUUUCGGUGUUUGUCGGAUCAAAAUUGACGUCUGUCGGAAAUUAGUUAAUUAGAAAAAUCAAAAAGAAAAAUCUGUGGAAAAAUAAACGUAAACCAAUGAAUGCAAAAUCGCAAAGACUUUUUAGUUCUAAACUGUUUGUUCAUUAUCAAACUUUACGAGUUUGUACAGGAUAACCACACUUUUCUUAAUCUCAUGAUUUACAGCUAAAUAUUACAGAAAAAAAAAGAAAUGAAUAAUGCGAGGCUGCCUUUCAAAUUUUUUGAGUAACAAUAUUUUGGAAGAUUCGUCGUUCCAUGGGAAAUAAACACUUUCUGUCAUGAGAGCAAAAAAAAAAAAUUACGCUUCGCGAUUUUCAUAAAAAAAGCAAGAAAAUAUCGAAAAUUGGCUUAAGCACUUUCUACAAAUUUUUUCAUAAAUUUGAAAUUUUCGUUAUAAAUUUCUUUUUUUUGAUGAACCACAGAUUUCCAAUGGAGUACCGAGAAAAAAAUAUCGAAUUUAUUUUAAUCACCGUAAGAUGGAUCUUGCGUUGCAAUAGUUGAGCACACGAAGCAUGCCUCUAUGAAAAGCCUGAGGGUUCAGCUCCUAUUGCAAAGCAGCGAAUCGUUGAUUUGAGGUCGGAUUCAACGCCGAUAAUGGAAGCAGUAGCGACGAACGAACACCUUAUUCUUUUAACGAUAACAAAACUGUAGAACUUUGUUAUUGCUCCUUGAUAAAUCAUCGUUUAUUUAUACUUUAAUACAAUUCGCCCCCAUAAAAUGUAGUAUAUAAACAA